AAGACUGUACUUUCAGGGAUCAUGUCUGUAGUUCUUUCAGAAAUUCUUUCUAAAGAUGAACUUGACACCAUAGUAAAAAGCGUAUUUGCAG
rnacentral:snoRNA from 1 species